rnacentral:rRNA from 1 species
AGCUUGCUCCUCUGACGUUAGCGGCGGACGGGUGAGUAACACGUGGAUAACCUACCUAUAAGACUGGGAUAACUUCGGGAAACCGGAGCUAAUACCGGAUAAUAUAUUGAACCGCAUGGUUCAAUAGUGAAAGACGGUUUUGCUGUCACUUAUAGAUGGAUCCGCGCCGCAUUAGCUAGUUGGUAAGGUAACGGCUUACCAAGGCAACGAUGCGU